GGCAGGAAGCCUUUUGAAGCGACUGAAAACUGCCCCAAGUUAUCUCCUGUCGUUCAUGUUGUCAUGCGGAAGUCAACGGUACUCGCACUUUUCUCGUUAAGGGACGCGGUUGGAACCCGCGCGUCUAACUGCUGAGUCAUCUAUAGCAGCGCAUCGAAGAACGUCGACGCGUUAUGCUGAAACGAACAUUUCAUUUGAUUCCCUUUCAUUUCACUCUUUUCCAUUCAGCUAUCUGAAACUCUGUGUACUAAAUCCCGUAAGGAUGACGAGAAGAAACGCUGUGAACUCUGCGUCGAACUCGAUCUAGGAGUCGAAGAUCAGAGCCAACGGAAUGGGGCUCCCCGCGGAGGUACCUCGGAUUAAGAAGAGUGGAUGGAAUGGAAAGAAAACCCGGCUCGUGUGGAACCAUCACCUCGGUUGACCUCCCACUUUUGUAUGGUGGAACAGCAAUGCUCACAACAAGACUACGUGCCAGAACCAAAAACUACUUCAAAUCAUUCCUGGAGUGGGGGAUCUUUUCAAUCGAGUAGCCUGAAUUCGCAUCGCGCCAAAAUUAUUUACUUUCCCGGCAUGCUGUGGCGAAAACCAUGUUCGCGUUUACAGGAAAGGGGCGUAACAAAUGUACCUGCUGGAGUCACACCAUAGUAAACACCUGUAUCCAGCAGUUCCUAGAGCGAUACCAUUGUGCAUCUUCAGGUGCCUUUUGCCUUGCUACGAUUUCCGGCGAGUUAUUUCAAUACUUUCUCUAAACGAGGUUUUGGUAACAGGUGGUGGCCUCAACAAUGUUAUUUUUCUUGGCUCAUCUCCGUCGGCUUCUAGUCGAUGAUCCCUUGUCGAAGUGCACCGACCUUUUUUUUGUUCGAGCAAUCUUUUCGUAGCACUUGGGGUAACUUGCUUUACGUUCUGUUUGGUUAUUUAGUAUGGAUUUUGUCGUUACAGAUAUCCCAUCCACCAGGUAGAUAGUGGUGCACGUUGUACCUACAAACGACUUUGCAACUUUGCAUGCGGUGUAAGUUAAGGUACAGCGAAUAACGCCUAAACUGUCGGAAAGAGUCAAAAUAGAGACACAAGUUCAUGUUUUUUGAGAGCUUGGUGUAACUGGGUACAGGAAAUUGCCACAUAUUUUCGUUUUUUAUGGCUUAUUUGAAGCAAAGAAAAUCUGUUGACGUUUCUGCUGCCAAAACCGGUCGCAUUAUUUUCGGGAGGGCGUGGGCCGGUUUACCCGCAUAAAUAAGCCGAGGUUCAAUUAUGUCAACGAGAAACCUCUUACUAGCAAUUUCUUCAAAGCACCGGAGGGAAAAACCAAGGAAACGGCACCGGACAUCGUUUACCCAGUAAGGGAGAUUCCAAAGGUUAUGGGAGCGUAGGCAGUCCGCAGUUUAACAGUAGCGGUAUACGGUGUGAAAGCGUUGGACCCAGGGGACCCUUUUCUGUGAUUUGGCAUAUGUGGAAUUGUCCAUAAUCGCAGCUCCACUAGCGGGACAAGGUCCGAGAAGAACAUCACUUCGAAAUCUUCUCAAAAUUGCUGCGAUGUCUCCAGCAGGCAGUUACUUGUAUGUCUUCUAUGCGCUGCUGCACCGCUAUCCCAUCAGCAGAGUACCGGUGCAUUAUGACCUGUGUGUGUUUGACGAUUCAGAAGUGUAGC
rnacentral:lncRNA from 1 species